rnacentral:rRNA from 1 species
UUGGAGGGCAAGUCUGGUGCCAGCAGCCGCGGUAAUUCCAGCUCCAAUAGCGUAUAUUAAAGUUGUUGCAGUUAAAAAGCUCAUAGUUGAAUUUCGGGAUCAAUGUUUCGGUCAUGCCGUUGGGAUGUACUGAUAUUAUUGAUUUCUCACCUUCUAAAGAACCGUAAUGCCAUUAAUUUGGUGUCACGGGGAAUUAGGACUGUUACCUUGAAAAAAUUAGAGUGUUUAAAGCAGGCUCACGCUUGAAUACAUUAGCAUGGAAUAAUGAAAUAGGACAUCCGAUUCUAUUUUGUUGGUUUCUAGGAUCGAUGUAAUGAUUAAUAGGGAUAGUUGGGGGCAUUAGUAUUCAAUUAUCAGAGGUGAAAUUCUUGAAUUUAUUGAAGACUAACUACUGCGAAAGCAUUUGCCAAGGAUGUUUUCAUUAAUCAAGAACGAAAGUUAGGGGAUCGAAGACGAUCAGAUACCGUCGUAGUCUUAACCAUAAACUAUGCCGACUAGGGAUCGGAUGAUGUUAAUUUUUUAAUGACUCAUUCGGCGCCUUACGGGAAAC